GGAUUAGAUACCCUGGUAGUCCACGCCGUAAACGAUGAGAACUAGAUGUUGGAGGGAUUUAGCCCUUCGGUGUCGUAGCUAACGCGUUAAGUUCUCCGCCUGGGGAGUACGCCGGCAACGGUAAAACUCAAAGGAAUUGACGGGGACCCGCACAAGCGGUGGAGCAUGUGGUUUAAUUCGAUGCAACGCGAAGAACCUUACCUGCCCUUGACAUCCUCGGAACUUGUCAGAGAUGACUUGGUGCCUUCGGGAACCGAGAGACAGGUGCUGCAUGGCUGUCGUCAGCUCGUGCCG
rnacentral:rRNA from 1 species